UUCUAAUUUAUUUCUUAAAACAUAAAAUAUGAAGCAAGGAGUAGAAUUUUUAAAGAUAAAGAAAACAAUAAAUAUCGGGAAUCAAGGGGAAAGGCCGAUGCGGUGGGAUUUGGUGGAGGGAUUAAGGGAGGAGCGGUCGAAGUGCUGAAGGAGAGAGGAGGCGGCGGUGGCUGUGGAGGAUGAAAUUGAGGUGGAGGAAGCGGUGGUGGUGGAGGCGCGUUUACGGGAUUCUUCGAGUUCUUCUUUGUCGUCGAGUUUCACUUCGAUCCUGGUGGCUUUUCUCCUC
rnacentral:lncRNA from 1 species